GAGUUCACAGCAGGGACUGAAAAUUAUUUGGCUUUAUUAAUCAUUGACUUCAGGACCAAGUGCAAGCUGCAGUAGUUGACGAAGGGUUCUGAUCUGUGGAGCAGGAAGUAGUGUCCCACUCAGCUCUUUGGAGAGCACCUAGCCCACAAUCCACAGAACUUAGUGCCACCUCCUUAAGUGGCUGCUGCUCUUUGGUUUCUGGCCAUAGCCAGCUGAAGGCACAAGUUGCUGCCAGGACUCUGGAACAUUUCUGUCACGUCACUGCUGCUUUUCUGCCAGGGACAAAGCUUAGGAGGCAGCCAGAACCAAUUUGUUUUAGAUGAACCCUGUUAUAGUGCUUGGUAUAUACCUGUUUUAUGUUCUCCAUCAGUAAGAGGUUUUUGUCUUAGAAAACAAGUGACAUUUAUAGUCCAAAGAGAAAUAAUCAGACUUGAAGGGGGUGUUCCUACUGGCUCUGUCUGUGUUGUCAUUACAUUGUAGAUGAGGACUCCACUGUUUGGUUUAACGUUUAUCUCUUUUCUUUGGCCGUCAGGGGCAGUGUGGGCUUGUUUUGUGCAGGUUCCUCCAUUCUAGACACGUGUGCUCUGCCGUCCCAGAACAAGGACCAUGGCUGUAGCAGUCCUUGGUCUGAAGUUUGCCACCACCCUUUUUUUUUCUCAGCUCAGGUACAGACACCCACCCCCAUCUUCCUUGUCCCUUAGCAUCCUUUCUUGUCCUCUUCCUCCCCUCUGAGUCCAGUUCCCAUUUGAGGAAUAUAGCCUUCUGUCUUUGAUUAUUCCCUUUGAAGUCAGGCAAUAAUCUCAUGUUUCCAGGUGAUUUCCUGAGGUGGAGAAUGGUGAAAAUUAGUGAGUUUUACCCUAAAAAUAUUCUAGUAACUCAGCAAGAAUAGGUGAAAUUGAGCAACUUUGGGUCUGACACUGCAUGGGGAAAGCGGGUCUUGUUCUGUCCAAGGUGAAUAAAGAAUUUAAAUACACACAUGCAACUUCUAACAUUCCAGAGGGUACAAAUAAUUGAUAAAGAUGGACUUCCUUGGUGUGAUUCUUCUGAAAACCUUUUGUUUGGAUGUGUUUAAAAUGAUAUCAGAAAAGUAACAUUUGGGAUAUGUGUGUUAGGGUGGGCUUAAUUGUCCUUUCCCCUUCAGUUGGCUCUAAUUUCUGAUAACUCUGUAAUUCUGAUUAUUUUGAUAAAAGAACAACCAUAGCAGAUGCAGUUUGAAAUCUGGGGCAUGCAGUGGUUCCCCAAGGGAAGAGGGCUGCCCCCCACUCCAAGAAGCCCUGGUGUACACAGCAAACAGAACUUGGAAUGCACCCCCCUCACUGGUUACUUCUGCUCCACACACCAUCUCCCCAGCAAAAGACUGGGGAAGAAGAGCCUUGAGCCUUUGCAGAGGUGUUUGGAGUCCUGUUCACUGAGUUCACCCUCCUGCCUGCACUAAGAUCACUUUGAACAGAGUCAUGUAAGAGAAACAUACACUUAGUACCUAAUAAUAUUCUCAGUAGUUCACUUGAUAGAUUUGAACCAUAGGUUCAGAAACUUUGGGGGAAAACUGGGACCAGUCUGGACGGGGCUUAAACUAUUCAGUUGCUGUACUUGGAUACUCAGGCACCUUCCAACAGGAAAACAUUUCCCAAGGGUAUUUAGGCUGGUGGCCCAUUUUGUUCACUUUUGAAGCUGGGCGUAAGGGUAGACAUGGGGGUGGGGCUUCUACUUUUGCCAACAACACAGGAAACGGGGCUCUUCAGUCCUCACAGCCACUUUUCCCUUUUGUGUAGGGUUUCUUCCUUAGGCCUUGAGAAGCAUGAUUAAAUGGUAGGGCAGCCGUCCUCGGCCAUCCUGAGACAUGUACCAUGCACAUGUGUACACGAGUAUCUCCCCUUCCAGCACCUCCAUUUUAGGUCAGCUCCACCUGUGGACUCACAUAAAAACAUCCGCAGUGUAACUGGCCUUCUCCGUGUCUGACCCACAGGGAGAAGGACAGUCGGGAAGCCCAUGAGCUAGGGAAGAACCAGGUUCUGUGGGCUGACAUUACAGUGCUGAGGUCUCCAGGGUGUUUAUUCCUAUUAAAAAGUGGAACUUCCCACAUAUAGUCGGCCUUGGUUACGGCUGGGUAGCCAACUGCCUUGGAGGUUAUGUGGCACUCUCCUGGAAGCAGUUGUCCUUUAGCAUUCAAAGCCUGUUCAGACCAGAUCUUCUGUGCUGACAGUGACCAUUAGCAUCCGCCCAUGUGUUCCUAGCACUUCCUGACAGCCCCUCUUCCUGAGGGGUCCACCUGGAGAGGGGAGACACUGAUGUCACGGCUGGCAGAGCCAUGCACUGCAGAAGGUUUGCUCUGAGUAGUCACCUAGUCCUUCAGACAGGCUUUUCUAAUGGUGAAGGAAAAGGUAAAAUUUGGGAUUCCACAGUGCCUUGCAUACAUUAGGCGCCCAAUACCUAUUUGUUGAAGCAAAUCAAGUUCUUUGUUCCCACAGUGACCAAGGCAUCUUCCUCCUCCGAAGGGCUUGGCGGUUGUGGCUAAAAACUAAGCAUCAUUAUUUGCUCGAGACCAUAUUUACAAUUUGUAUGAAUUUCGGUAUAUUGCCAAGAUGGGAUCUUUUUCCUAUUGUAUUUUCUGUAAAUAUUUCUGCCACUGACUUGUAAAGUAAAGAGAUGUAAAUAUGAAGGUGUGCCUGUGUCCCUUGCUGCCUCUGUUGGGUCUGUGUCAGCCUGGGAAGGAGGUGCAGAGCUGUUCCUGUUUAUGCCGGUCCUUUGUCCACAAGAAACCCACAAGAUAUUGAAUGUACUACACGCAGUCAAUUAAAUUUUAAGGAGCUUCUUAUCUAAU
rnacentral:lncRNA from 1 species